rnacentral:lncRNA from 1 species
GAAAUCAGAGGCAUCACCAGCCAUCAAACACCAAUAAACACCAACAAAUAUGACAUGCAAAGGCAUCACCAGCCAUCACCAACCCAUAAGCAACUAAGGAACAGAAUCACCUGAUUAGAUUAGGUCUAAGGCAGCCGGGCAGUAGCGAGAUAGCAAUCGAAGGUACCAAAUCCUUCUCUCGUUGCUCCAGCCCCUCCAAUUAUCAAAAGGUUCCGGCACCACCGUUUCAGGCUCCAGAUCUCCCUCCGUUUCAGGCACCACCGUAUCCAAUGGCCGGCCUUCUUCAUCCAGGACGAAGCCAUCCACGGCCAGAUCUCCCUCCGUUUCAGGCACCACCGUAUCGAAUGGCCGGCCUUCUUCAUCCAGGACGAAGCCAUCCACGGCCAGAUCUCCCUCCGUUUCAGGCACCACCGUAUCGAAUGGCCGGCCUUCUUCAUCCUGGACGAAGCCAUCCACGGCCAGAUCUAGCUCUGAUUCUCCAUCCACGGCCACCAGAUCUUGGGGGGUUUCCGGCACGACAGUGUCCGGCUCCAAAGCCCAAGCCGGAAAGGACAUAAUUUCAGUGUGGGUCGCCGUCACCACAUCUGAAAACGUGGGUUCGGACAUCGUCAGCGGCGCCGUAUCACCGAAAAAACGAGGCACCAUCAUCGAAUCCAGUGAAUAAUCGGUGAAAUCAUCGGAUUUACAGAUAUUGAUCGGAGAUGGCAACGGAUCUGGUGAUUCUUCGGUAGAAUCACCAAA